rnacentral:rRNA from 1 species
UCGUGCGGUCACAGGGAUCGGCUUGCUGAUUCGUCUAACGAGCGGCGGACGGGUGAUUCUUGUCUGGGAAACUGCCUGAUGGAGGGGGAUAACUACUGGAAACGGUAGCUAAUACCGCAUAACGUCGCAUGACCAAAGAGGGGGACCUUCGGGCCUCUUGCCAUCGGAUAUGCCCAGAUGGGAUUAGCUAGUAGGUGAGGUAAAGGCUCACCUAGGCGACGAUCCCUAGCUGGUCUGAGAGGAUGACCAGCCACACUGGAACUGAGACACGGUCCAGACUCCUACGGGAGGCAGCAGUGGGGAAUAUUGCACAAUGGGCGCAAGCCUGAUGCAGCCAUGCCGCGUGUAUGAAGAAGGCCUUCGGGUUGUAAAGUACUUUCAGCGGGGAGGAAGGUGUUGUGGUUAAUAACCGCAGCAAUUGACGUUACCCGCAGAAGAAGCACCGGCUAACUCCGUGCCAGCAGCCGCGGUAAUACGGAGGGUGCAAGCGUUAAUCGGAAUUACUGGGCGUAAAGCGCACGCAGGCGGUUUGUUAAGUCAGAUGUGAAAUCCCCGGGCUCAACCUGGGAACUGCAUUUGAAACUGGCAAGCUGGAGUCUCGUAGAGGGAGGUAGAAUUCCAGGUGUAGCGGUGAAAUGCGUAGAGAUCUGGAGGAAUACCGGUGGCGAAAGCGGCCUCCUGGACGAAGACUGACGCUCAGGUGCGAAAGCGUGGGGAGCAAACAGGAUUAGAUACCCUGGUAGUCCACGCUGUAAACGAUGUCGAUUUGGAGGUUGUGCCCUUGAGGCGUGGCUUCCGGAGCUAACGCGUUAAAUCGAACCGCCUGGGGGAGUACGGCCGCCAAGGUUAAAACUCCAAUGGAAUUGACGGGGGGCCCCGCCAAAACCGGGGGAACCUUGUGGUUUUAAUUCCAAUGCAACCCCCAAAAAACCUUUACCUGGGUCUUGAAAUUCC